rnacentral:tRNA from 1 species
GUUUCUGUAGUGUAGUGGUUAUCAAGUUCGCUUUACACGCGAAAGGUCCCUGGUUCGAAACCGGGCAGAAGCA